rnacentral:rRNA from 1 species
AAGUCGAACGGAGUUUUUAAACGGAAGUUUUCGGAUGGAAGUUUAGAAACUUAGUGGCGGACGGGUGAGUAACGCGUGGGUAACCUGCCUCAUACGAGGGGGAUAACAGUUAGAAAUGACUGCUAACACCGCAUAAUAUAGCGAAACCGCAUGAUUUUUGCUAUCAAAUAUUUAUAGGUAUGAGAUGGGCCCGCGUCUGAUUAGCUAGUUGGUGGGGUAAAAGCCUACCAAGGCGACGAUCAGUAGCCGGCUUGAGAGAGUGACCGGCCACAUUGGGACUGAGACACGGCCCAAACUCCUACGGGAGGCAGCAGUGGGGAAUAUUGGACAAUGGGGGAAACCCUGAUCCAGCGACGCCCGCGUGAGUGAAGAAGUAUUUCGGUAUGUAAAGCUCUAUCAGCAGGGAAGAUAAUGACAGUACCUGACUAAGAAGCCCCGGCUAACUACGUGCCAGCAGCAGC